rnacentral:rRNA from 1 species
UACGGGGGGCGAAGGCGUUGUUCGGAAUUACUGGGCGUAAAGGGCUCGUAGGCGGCCAACUAAGUCAGACGUGAAAUCCCUCGGCUUAACCGGGGAACUGCGUCUGAUACUGGAUGGCUUGAGUUUGGGAGAGGGAUGCGGAAUUCCAGGUGUAGCGGUAGAAAUGCGUAGAUAUCUGGAGGAACACCGGUGGCGAAGGCGGCAUCCUGGACCAACACUGACGCUGAGUGAGCGAAAGCCAGGGGAGCAAACGGG